rnacentral:rRNA from 1 species
AGACGUAGAUCACGGCAGGCAAAUCCGCCGUGAGAGUCGAACUUGAAAGUACAGGGUCCUCUUCGGAGGAACCUGAUAGCGAGGGUAAGCAUACUCCCGAGAAAAUCCGCUAAGCAAUCCUAAAGGUACCCGUACCGUAAACGGACACACGUAGUCGGGUAGAACAUACUAAGGCGUUGAGAGAUUCAUGGUUAAGGAACUAGGCAAACUGACCCCGUAACUUCGGGAUAAGGGGUCCUCGUGAAAGCGAGGCGCAGAGAAUAGGUCCAGGCAACUGUUUAACAAAAACACAGGGCUGUGCGAACUCGAAAGAUGAAGUAUACAGCCUGACACCUGCCCGGUGCCGGAAGGUUAAGAGGAGAUGUCAACCUUUAUGGCGAAGCAUUGAAUUGAAGCCCCGGUAAACGGCGGCCGUAACGAUAACGGUCCCAAGGUAGCGAAAUUCCUUGUCGGGUAAGUUCCGACCUGCACGAAUGGUGUAAUGAUCCGGACGCUGUCUCAACCAUGAGCUCAGUGAAAUUGUAGUAUCGGUGAAGAUGCCGAUUACCCGCGAUGGGACGAAAAGACCCCGUGAACCUUUACUACAGCUUAGCAUUGACCUUGGUCAUCCGAUGUGUAGGAUAGGCCGGAGGCUUCGAAGCGGCGUCGCCAGGCGUCGUGGAGCCAUCCUUGAAAUACGGCCCUUUGGCUGUCUGAGGUCUAACUCGCAAGUGCGAGGACACUGUUUGGUGGGUAGUUUGACUGGGGUGGUCGCCUCCAAAAGCGUAACGGAGGCUUCCAAAGGUGCCCUCGGGCCGAUUGGUAACCGGCCUAAUAGAGUGCAAUGGCAUAAGGGCGCUUGACUGGGAGGCAGACAUGCCGAGCAGGCAGGAAACUGGGGCAUAGUGAUCCGGCGGAUGUGUAUGGAAACUCCGUCGCUCAAAGGAUAAAAGGUACUCCGGGGAUAACAGGCUGAUCCCCCCCAAGAGCUCAUAUCGACGGGGUGGUUUGGCACCUCGAUGUCGGCUCGUCACAUCCUGGGGCUGGAGAAGGUCCCAAGGGUUGGGCUGUUCGCCCAUUAAAGUGGCACGCGAGCUGGGUUCAGAACGUCGUGAGACAGUUCGGUCUCUAUCUAUCGUGGGCGCAGGAGUUUUGAGUGGUGCCGUCACUAGUACGAGAGGACCGUGAUGGACAGACCUCCGGUUUGCCAGUUGUGCCGCCAGGCGCACCGCUGGGUAUCCGAGUCUGGUUAGGAUAAGCGCUGAAAGCAUCUAAGUGCGAAGCCAUCCGCAAGAUGAGAACUCCAUUGAGGGUCGUUGUAGACGACGACGUAGAUAGGCUGCAGGUGUAAAGACGGUGACGUCAAAGCCGAGCAGUACUAAUUGCCC